UGCAUCCUGAAUGUUUGUUUUCAUUUCAUUUUCAGCCAAGACACUGGACAUUGAUUUCCUCUUGCAUUUUAUUUGAAGUGAAUUCACGAUGGUGGAUGGGAAAACUAGAGCCAGAAAUCUUUGCCCUGAGCACAAACCAAAGCAAAAUCAAAGCCUUUCUGAGAGUACACUUCACAAAAUAUUUCUUAUGAAUGAUGGAGAAAAAACAGAAGCUUGGACACAGGGCCUGCUUUGUAUAAAGGAAUGCUUCACUUGAUACAGCAUCUCAAGGAAAGAGACAAAUGACUUUCUCAAAGUCACUCAACUGUAUUUUAAUAAGGAUUUCAAUCUGUUUCCUGUUUUCAAGUCAAACCAUCUCUAGCAACUUUGGCUACGUUAAUGAACUAUCAUUUAUUAUCAUUUUCUUCUGGGAACCAGUUUGGUAGCUUCAAUAUUAUUAGAUUUGGAAAUCUAACAAAUGUAUUCUAGGUAGAAAACAUACAUACGGCUUAAACAAGGAUGGUAGCCGCAUGCAAAGGCAAAGAAAAUGGAACAGGGAAAUCUUAAACAUGUCUUCAAGAAGAUGAAAUUCAGAAAACAGACUCUGGGAAUCCUUGACUAGCAGAAGUCUGUCUGUCCCGCUCAGCUGGAGGUUUCA